GAUGAACGCUGGCGGCGUGCCUAAUACAUGCAAGUCGAGCGAACGGACGAGAAGCUUGCUUUUCUGAUGUUAGCGGCGGACGGGUGAGUAACACGUGGAUAACCUACCUAUAAGACUGGGAUAACUUCGGGAAACCGGAGCUAAUACCGGAUAAUAUUUUGAACCGCAUGGUUCAAAAGUGAAAGACGGUCUUGCUGUCACUUAUAGAUGGAUCCGCGCUGCAUUAGCUAGUUGGUAAGGUAACGGCUUACCAAGGCAACGAUGCAUAGCCGACCUGAGAGGGUGAUCGGCCACACUGGAACGGAGACACGGUCCAGACUCCUACGGGAGGCAGCAGUAGGGAAUCUUCCGCAAUGGGCGAAAGCCUGACGGAGCAACGCCGCGUGAGUGAUGAAGGUCUUCGGAUCGUAAAACUCUGUUAUUAGGGAAGAACAUAUGUGUAAGUAACUGUGCACAUCUUGACGGUACCUAAUCAGAAAGCCACGGCUAACUACGUG
rnacentral:rRNA from 1 species